rnacentral:rRNA from 1 species
CAGGCUUAACACAUGCAAGUCGAGGGGCAUCAGGAAGAAUUCUUGCUUUCUUUGCUGGCGACCGGCGCACGGGUGAGUAACACGUAUCCAACCUGCCCUUUACUCGGGGAUAGCCUUUCGAAAGAAAGAUUAAUACCCGAUAGCAUAAUGAUUCCGCAUGGUUUCAUUAUUAAAGGAUUCCGGUAAAGGAUGGGGAUGCGUUCCAUUAGGUUGUUGGUGAGGUAACGGCCCACCAAGCCUUCGAUGGAUAGGGGUUCUGAGAGGAAGGUCCCCCACAUUGGAACUGAGACACGGUCCAAACUCCUACGGGAGGCAGCAGUGAGGAAUAUUGGUCAAUGGGCGCUAGCCUGAACCAGCCAAGUAGCGUGAAGGAUGAAGGCUCUAUGGGUCGUAAACUUCUUUUAUAUAAGAAUAAAGUGCAGUAUGUAUACUGUUUUGUAUGUAUUAUAUGAAUAAGGAUCGGCUAACUCCGUGCCAGCAGCCGCGGUAAUACGGAGGAUCCGAGCGUUAUCCGGAUUUAUUGGGUUUAAAGGGAGCGUAGGUGGACUGGUAAGUCAGUUGUGAAAGUUUGCGGCUCAACCGUAAAAUUGCAGUUGAUACUGUCAGUCUUGAGUACAGUAGAGGUGGGCGGAAUUCGUGGUGUAGCGGUGAAAUGCUUAGAUAUCACGAAGAACUCCGAUUGCGAAGGCAGCUCACUGGACUGCAACUGACACUGAUGCUCGAAAGUGUGGGUAUCAAACAGGAUUAGAUACCCUGGUAGUCCACACAGUAAACGAUGAAUACUCGCUGUUUGCGAUAUACAGUAAGCGGCCAAGCGAAAGCAUUAAGUAUUCCACCUGGGGAGUACGCCGGCAACGGUGAAACUCAAAGGAAUUGACGGGGGCCCGCACAAGCGGAGGAACAUGUGGUUUAAUUCGAUGAUACGCGAGGAACCUUACCCGGGCUUAAAUUGCAGUGGAAUGAUGUGGAAACAUGUCAGUGAGCAAUCACCGCUGUGAAGGUGCUGCAUGGUUGUCGUCAGCUCGUGCCGUGAGGUGUCGGCUUAAGUGCCAUAACGAGCGCAACCCUUAUCUUUAGUUACUAACAGGUUAUGCUGAGGACUCUAGAGAGGCUGCCGUCGUAAGAUGUGAGGAAGGUGGGGAUGACGUCAAAUCAGCACGGCCCUUACGUCCGGGGCUACACACGUGUUACAAUGGGGGGGUACAGAAGGCAGCUAGCGGGUGACCGUAUGCUAAUCCCAAAAUCCUCUCUCAGUUCGGAUCGAAGUCUGCAACCCGACUUCGUGAAGCUGGAUUCGCUAGUAAUCGCGCAUCAGCCACGGCGCGGUGAAUACGUUCCCGGGCCUUGUACACACCGCCCGUCAAGCCAUGGGAGCCGGGGGUACCUGAAGUACGUAACCGCAAGGAUCGUCCUAGGGUAAAACUGGUGACUGGGGC